CUACGGGGUGCUGCAGCGGGGAAUAUUGCACAAUGGAGGAAACUCUGAUGCAGCAACGCCGCGUGGAGGAUGACACUUUUCGGAGCGUAAACUCCUUUUAUAUAGGAAGAAGAUGACGGUACUAUAUGAAUAAGCGCCGGCUAACUCCGUGCCAGCAGCCGCGGUAAUACGGAGGGCGCAAGCGUUACUCGGAAUCACUGGGCGUAAAGAGCGUGUAGGCGGAUUGAAAAGUCAGAAGUGAAAUCCUAUAGCUUAACUAUAGAACUGCUUCUGAAACUCUUAAUCUAGAAUAUGGGAGAGGUAGAUGGAAUUUCUGGUGUAGGGGUAAAAUCCGUAGAGAUCAGAAGGAAUACCGAUUGCGAAGGCGAUCUACUAGAACAUUAUUGACGCUGAGACGCGAAAGCGUGGGGAGCAAACAGGAUUAGAUACCCUGGUAGUC
rnacentral:rRNA from 1 species